AUGGUGUUCAACGUCGUCGCGGCUGCGGUGAUCGUCGGCCUGGGCGCUGUGGGCGCCUAUUUCUUCUGGCCGGCGGCUGUCGUUGCCGGUGGGAUGAUGAAGGCGCCCGGCGCGGCCGGCUUCCUCAUCUCCCGCGCCGCAUUUGCGGCCAACCCGCAGAUGUACUUCCAGCUCCUCCACAACGCAGGCGCUGCGGCGGCUGCGGCCGCCUUUGCUGCCUAG
rnacentral:rRNA from 1 species